rnacentral:lncRNA from 1 species
GCAGCUGGACUUGCAGUUGUUGUGGUGGCUGGGGCUGGGGCUGAGCUUGCAGUUGCAGUUGCGGCUGUGGCUGAGGCUGGGGUUGUAGUUGGAGUUGGGGCUGGGGCUGGGGUUGGAGUUGGGGUUGGGCCUGCGGCUGCAGCUGAGGUUGUAGUUGGGGCUGGGCUUGCAUUUGUUGUUGAGGUUGGGAUUGCAUUUGCAAUUGUGGUUGUCCAGCAGACCACCGAUUCCUACCCCGGCCUCUUCGAGCACCGGCAAUACUAGAAAUCAACGAGUGACCGACAUUAGCCAAGGC